rnacentral:lncRNA from 8 species
ACUCAAGGAGCUUGGUCGCUCAAAUGCCAGCCACAACCAAUGCUCCCUCCCAGUUAAGGGGUCAGAGCUGCUUGGGUGGAAGCCAGAGGGCUGUGGUCAAAAGUCACCAUCCAGUGUCAUUACGAAAAGGACUCACCUCCCAGCAAAAAUGUCACAGUGGUGGUGUGGAACACAAACAUGCUGACUAAGUACAUCAUCGGAUGUAUGGCCCUGAUAGGAUUCAUGAUUCUACCUGCAGUAUUCAUAUUCUACAUCACCUGUCUCCUCUCACUGAAAGCAAAGAGGAACGGACACCUCGUCAUAACAAGAUCGCCCAGUGACCAGACAUUGCCAGGAGACACUACCGUAACAAGUAUGUAUGAUGCCACAGUGAAGUGUACGUGUGUUGGCCUAUAAUUAUAGAGAUAUUUACCACAGUCCCGUUUUAACAGCACAUUUCUGUGAUUCUGUUAACACAGCAAGUGACCCCACAAAUCCUGUAGAAUCUCCACAGGAAAAGAAGGCAAUACCAUGACAUAAUUAUGUUUUUAUGUAGCUGCCUCACGCUCUUCCUCUACUUUACCACCAUAGUGCUUUUUUUGGUUUUCUGUGCAUAAACAGUACAGUGGGCUGGCACACAACACAUAAGUAUGUUAUAAAUGAAAAACAGUUGGAAUGGUGGUUUAUUGAAGGAUUUGAUGAUUUGAUGUUUUCUUUCAAAUAGUGAUUUGUCCUCAUCCCUUUGUUGCAAUAACAGGAAGGUGAAGAUGAUUGGUGCUAUGCCACCGUGUCCCAUGCUGAUGCUCCUCCAUCCUACUCAGUCAAGUUUGAGGAAGGCCAUGACUAUGCCACAAUGGUCAUAUACUGACCAGCAUGUGCCGACCUGAAUGGACAUGAAAGGACUUCCACAUAGAUAGAUUGUUUGACUUUAACACCUCCAUUUAAAUUUUCUUUCCAAUAAAUCAAUUGCACUAAUCUAUUUGCAAUGUAGUUUUGAUCAUCCAAUUUGUCACUUUAAGAGAACAAUUAAGUUUUUGUAUUCCACCAUCCGCUUAAUUUCUGUUUGUCUCGUGUGCACCUGUCAGUCCCAGUCGCAGGAAACAGUAACAUAGCGCUCGCUACUUUUCGCUGACCAGGCAUUCAUCUUUGCUUACCUGCCUAAUGCUUCUAAAUGUAAGCCAUUGACUUAAAUCAAGAAUUACUUACUUAAAUUCCACGAGGGUUAAGUCUACUCCAAAUGUGCACGGUCCGUGGAUGAAUUGGCAAGUUUUCAACCCGUUUUCUCACGGUGUGGUGGUUACAAACUACUCCACUACUACCCGUCCGUAGCAAUACAAGACACGUUUAUACCACUAGAUGGCAAUGUUGAAUCCUGUUUUGCAACAAUUUUAAGAGCUCCUCGUAGGCAGGGAAAACCCUUUUUGGACAUUUCUGUUAUUGGAAUAGGCUAUCAUCAAAAUAAAUCAAUUGUACAAUACCAUUGGAAAUUAAUGUUGAAAGUUGCAUUUGUGUUCCUAAAAUGUAAAUUGAAAAGGUAUUAUCACUGCUUCCUGUUGACAAGCCAUUUUGAUAAAUAGCCUAAUGUCAAAACACAGUUUAGAGAUUGAUUAGACACUAGAGAUUAGAGAGUUUAAUAGUCAAAUCAUGCACAGGGUUGCAGAUGUAAUUACAGGGCACGAGCUCCAACAAUGCAGGACAAAGUGAAAUAAAAUAAUACAAAUAUAAAUAAAUACAUUUUAACAAUUUGUCAUUGAUAAAUGUCCAUUGGGGGUGGGGACAGUGUUAACGUCCAUUAGAGGGGAUGAGAAAUGUCCACAGGAGGAGCAGCAGGGUGAGUAGGUGACUAGUUGUGACUAUUCAGCAUAAUACAUGUCUAUUGGGGGGAGGGCAGGGUAAAAAUGUCCUUUGAGGUGGGGGGUAGAAGCCUGAUGGUCUGGGGGUAGAAGCUAUUGGCCAGUCUUACAGUUUUUACCAUGAUGCUCCUAUACUGCCUGCGUCUGAGUGAUAGAACGGGGAGAACAGGCCAUGGCUCAGGAUGCUGGGGUCCCUGAUUAUCUUCUUUGCCUUCCAGCGACACUUGGUGUUGUAGGUGUCCAAAUCAAUAAGCAAUAUGCAGAAACAGUUCGUUACAUAUUGAAAACCUAAACCUAAAAUCUACUAUCUACACAUGUGCACCAAUUGUAAUCAUAUUACUUGUAUUUUUUUAAACGAGCACCUUAUAAACUGCACACGCACCCAAACCCUGGUGUUUUGACAAGUGGCAAUAAAUCACUGAUAUCAAUUAGGUGGGAGGGAUUAAGGUUGUAGCGCUGUUGAAACUAACACAACUAAAAACAACACAUGGAAACUGGAGAUAUUUAAUUACAUCACUGGUUAGAGAACAACAUGCAGAAGUCAGAAAUCAUCUACAUUUUAGAGUGAGGCAAUUUGAUUUGGGGGUCUCCAAAACAGAAAGAGAAACGCUACACUUAUUUCCAAUCACUCAUAAUUGUAGAAGUCAGAAAUCAUGUCACACCCUGACCUUAGAGAGCCUUUUUUAUUCUCUAUUUUGUUAGGUCAGGGUGUGACUUGGAUGGGCAUAUCUAUGUUUCUAUUUCUUUGUUGGCCUAGUAUGGUUUCCAAUCAGAGGCAGCUGUUCAUCGUUGUCUCUGAUUGGGGAUCAUACUUAGGCAGCCCUUUUUCCCACCUGUGAUUGUGGGAUCUUGUUUGUGUGUAGUUGCUUUCUGCACUGCAUAUAGCUUUACAUUUGUUUUCUGUUGUUUUUUCCCGUUUUCAUUUUUAUUAAAAAAGAAAAUGUACGCCUACCACGCUGCACCUUGGUCCAGUUCUUCAGACGAGCGUAACAAAUCAGCUAUAUUUUGGAGUGAGGCAAUUUGAUAUGGGGGUCUCAAACAGAAAGAGAAACGCUCCACUUAUUUUCCAAUCACUCAUAUUGAUAUCAUAUUGAAAUCAGUUGCACGAGGGGAAGAUAAGGUUGCAAGUCCUGUUAAAACUAACACAGAUCAAAAACUACACGGAAUCUGCUAAUAAUGUGUUGCCUACAAUUUGUAGAAGACAGCUAGCUACAUUUUGAAGUGUUGCAUUUUGAUUCAAGUGGGUCGCCAACGAGGUAAGUGUAAUGCAACACUUUUUCUUUUUACCACUUCCAUCAAUAUCAUGCUGAAAUCAAAAGAACACGGUCAAAUGUUUGGGCUGUAGCGUUGUUGGUUAGAUGAGAACUUAGAAGGCUUACAGUAUUGGCCUAUCUAUAUUUAGGAAUGUCGGAUGUUGAUUUUCGUCAAGCGACUUUUAUAGAGACCAAGAGAUCAUGGAGUCCCGAGUGGUGCAGCACAAUUGGCCAAGCGUCGUCCAGGUUAGGGGAUGGUUUGGCUGACCUGAUUUCCUUGUCCCACCGUGCUCUAGAGACUCCUUGUGGCGGCCAGGUGCCUUCAAGCUGACUUCAGUCGCCAGCUGGACAGUGUUUCCUCCGACAC